GCCCUUAGAGCAGUCCCUGAGCCAUCUCUGCCAGCGUGGGCAUGCCUGCUGUGAAGGAAGCCAAACUGUACAGAAAUGUCAUCUCUGAUGGCAUUCAAGAGUCCUGACACAAUUACAGAGCCUGGCCCCAGGGGAGAGCUUGCUGGGUGCUCACUCUAAGAUCACAGCCCUGCACUGCCUUGUACAGCAAGGGCGUGCUGCCAGCAGGGCUGAGUGCUGCAAGGCAGAAAGCGCUGUGGGAGCCUCUGGGAGCAGAGCAAGGGAAUAUGUUGAGAGGAGAGGAAGGCAGAGAAAAGAAAGGCACUCAGAGCACAGCAGGAUAUCAUUUGCUGUGAUCCAUUGGUACUGACUUGACCCUAACAUGUUGGAAAAAACCCGUGGUUUGUGCAAAAUGGAAUCCCAAUGCUACUGCGUCCAUAGCAAAGCUACUGAUUGUUUCCUAUGAGCAGAAAGCCCUCACAGAAACCAAGCAGAGAACAAUCUGUGGAAAAUCUCUCUUUUAAGCCCUUGGUGAUGGCCUCCUCUGAUAAGAAGUGAGAUUUCUGUGGAUGUACAGUAUGGGGAAGACUUCUAAUGUGAUUAUGCAAGUUUAGAGAUGAACAGAGGGUGGCAAUAUUUAUAUCCUAAAAAAGAGAGAAGAAACACACUCUUGAAAAAAGACAGAACAAGAGGAAUAAAAGAAAAGAUUUGUUGAGCCUGAAAUCAUCCAGUCAGAAACUGCAAACAGGAGUGCGCUUGCUGCAUUGUACCUGGGAUUCUUCGCCCAGAAAGGAUGGUGAAAUGCUGGAAUUGGGCUUCAGCUCCUGAGACACAUGAAAUUGCAGGGCAUCCAGGCAGUUUUUCAAAGGACAGCCUUUAUGGUCUUAGAGUAUUCACCGCUUCACAUACAUUUAAUCUUGAAUAAGGCCUGGUAAGGAUAUUCAUAGGUUCAUGGUAUUUUGUGCAGCAGGCAUUUAUUGUCCCUUUCCUCGAGUCUUCCUCACAUCACUUAUACCAACUCAAAGGGCAGGAAAAAAUGUUGCAGAAGAGAAGUUCUUGUCUUUUUAAUCGAGGUUGAGAGCAGCAGGAUCGAAUGGUGAUGUCUGGAAAAAAAGAAAGGGACACAUCUGACAAGAAUUUAUUAGAUCAAGUUCUCACAAGACAGAGCACAAGAAUAUUAGAAAAGGGAAAGGCAAAAAACCUGUGGAUGGACCUAAACACCUGAUUGUCAUUUUGCAAAUACUAACAGUCGAGCAAGAGGACUGUAUUUUGGCAGUAUUUGACUCAAAAAUUCCUGGGAAAGAUAAAAGCUGCUUCUAGAUGCUUCUGUUCUUCUACCCACUAAUGAUUUCACUGUCAGCUGUGAAUAGAUCUAUUAAUAAGUAGUGUUUUGAAUUUAUAAAUCAGUUCGUGCCUAAUCUUUUCUUCCAGGAAAGCUCACAUUGGUUCCAGUUGCUUUCACAAUUUGGCCUUUCCUCAUGAGAAGCCUACGGAGUUUCCCUCUCCCUUGCAAAAGAGACUGUGGUGGGAAGCAGGGCUACUUAUUACCUUAAGGGAGGAAUUCCUUCACCAUCUGGGAAAAGUAAUCCUGUGUAACAGUGAAAAUUAGAUUAGGAUGUUACCAUUGUAGAGAAGAGAUUUUUAACUUCCACACAGGCACAUAGUGAGGAGUUUCCUGCACAUCCUGAUUUGUUGAGUGGCUACUUGCUUCUGGCCAGAUGUCUACCAGCAUUUUAAGGCUAGAGACCAUUGUAAAUGCAGCCCAUAGCUCCUAACCACUGAGGUUUUCUUCAGAAAGUUCUUGGUUUCUCCCAGCUCCCACUAUGUUUCAUUCUAUGUGAAAGCAAUGGAAAUCCUCAAAUGAGAGAUGUCAGUAAUAGUUCUUGGGGAACUCUGAAAGUCUGGCAAUUUCCAUUGUUCCAGAAGACAGUUCCAACUAUUUAGCUUUGCUUUUCAGGACUAGAAGAGAGCGGGAUUUGGGUAGGAUUUGCUUUGUCUCUUCUCUUGACAUUUGUCAGAAAUAGUUCCCACUGGAUGAAGUUUUAAAUGGAUGGAUUUCCAAGAUGCAGAUCCUGAUGGUCUGGAUAUUCUGGAAGGAUGAAAUUUGGGUUGAGGUUAUUUUUGUGAGUUUGUAUCUUUUUCUUGUUGGUUCUUGUGGCUUUAAAAUGAUUCAUAUAGAGGAGAGUAAAAAAAGUCUGUUAAAACCUUGUGGCAGAAGCACGACAGACUUGGAAUCUGCUAUGAAACGAGAGAUUGCGGGGUGUACAUGGGCUUGUACAUGGGAAAUACUUGUACCAGUGCAUGACAUGGAUGAUUUGAAUUCCAGCUUUCAGGAAAGCUUUUGCUUCAUCUAAACUGUUUCUAAGAAACCCUUUAUCCAGAGAAACUUGAACAAAGCCUGUGGCCAAAAUAAUUUGGAUGAGAUUCGUCCAGUCUUUGCUUCUUUACAGCUUGACAGCAACAGAAGCAACUCAAAACAGAGAAGUGCCAUAAUUGCUUUAUGCCCACACUUCCCUGGCUCCUGUGUAUCAAGUUUGCACAGAGAAGCUGUGUCAGCGCUGGGAGAAACUGAUGUGACUGCAGUUCAUCUUUACCAAGUUUAUUGUAAAUUCUGUUAAUAGCAACAUUAGUGUUUCAGAAAUUUGUUGAAAAAGCGUAAGGGACAGCUGGUCUCCCUUUCCCAUCCCAACUGGAAGGAUCAGAUUCUCAGCUGGUGUAAUGUGCUGUAGCAUCACUGAUACCAAUGAAGUAUUGUUUACUCCAUCUUGACUUUACAUUUCACAAAACACUAGAGUAUGCAGAAAUUACUAAUUUCAGCAAUCUGCCUCAUAAGAUCUAUUAGCAGAAAGCAAAUAAUCACAAGCCAUUGCUUAAAUUUUCAGUCUCACAAACUAGGGAAUUCUACCUAUUUUCAGAGUCCAAUCAUGUUUAAAAAAAUGCAAGAGACAGUUGAAUUUAUUAGAAAUGUUCUGUGCAAUGAUCUAUGCUGAUGGCUCCCAGAUCUAAGUCUUGCAAAACAUAUGUGGCAAUUAUUAAGCCUGUUGUAUCAGCAGCUUUAAACAUAGUGUUGCUGAAAUUGAGAUUGUUGGUUUUACGACUGCAGUAUUUGGAAAUCUUGCCAAUAGGAAGUACUUUGAUUAGUUGUUAUUUUGCUGUUAUCAUAAUAGAGAUGACAAAAUUGAAUAAGACUAAAUCAGACUAAUGAAUAUAUAAAUAGUGAAGAGAUUCAUUAAGUUUAACUCUCAAAAAAAAAAUUAAAGGAAUUUACUUGUAUUCCUUAAGGAUCUAUGAGUUGGUAUUCUGGGUCAUGUCAAAAGUCUUUGCAGCCCCAAAUAUUAUUUCCUACAGGGAUCAGCUGCAAAUGUAUAGGACAAAUGUAAGAAAUGGAAGGAAAUAGAGAGGGUGAUUCUUCAUUGGUGCCCUCAAGCCAUCUUCAGAACAGACAGGUGCUAGAGGUUGUAUCCCUUCCAUCACAUUCAACACCAUGCCAGCAGAUCUUUCCCCAGGAGCUCUCUGAAACAGUUUUGAAUGUGUUUAAACUCUCGCUCACCUCUAUGUCAUGCAAUAAUGAGUUCUGCAGUUUAUUUGUAAGUUGUGUAAGUGCAGUUUUAUUUGUUGCUCUUCCUAAUAGAAAACAUUGGGGCACCUCUAGUUCUUACACUCAUAAUAGCUUGUAAUUACUGCUCGGCUGCUAGUUAGACUGUGUAGAACUAUUUGGUGACUUCCUUCAAUCCUGCCUUUCCAAGAUGAAGAGCUGCAGGCUAUAUGCACAUGAAAUCUGUUCUCUAUUUCUAAUCAUCCUUACCAUGACUUCAAAACUACACCAAGCUGUUUUCCAAAUUGAUUGAAUUGGUUUGUGUUCAAGAUGCAAGCAUUCUGUGGACUUACAAAGAUACUUUUUUGUUUUGCUCCCCAUUUAAUUCCUAACAACUUCAAACAUUAAUUUGCCUUAAUGAAAAUGGCAGAACAUUGUGCUAAUGUUUUCAGAGGAACAGUCAAAUAUUUUCUGAUUGGUGUUAGAUAAUUUAGAAAUCAUCAUAAUUUAUGCCAGUUUACAUGGAAAUUUUCCUUUGUGUAUUUCUCUGCAUUUCUUCAAAAUCUCAAUAUUUUCUGCCAUUCUGUUGGCUAGGAAAAUAAUUUAAUAAAAAUCAGACUUAGAAAAACUGUAGUUUGUGAAAGUUAAAA